AUGAGCGGGGUCUCAAGCAGGAAGGGGAGAAGGCGCGACGCCGUGAAGAGCGCCAGCCUCGCCAUGGAGCGCUUCGCGGAAAGAAUCAACCAAAGGAUUCUGCCAUUGGAAGCAGCCAAGUUGCUGGAGGCCGGCAAUCUCGGCGGGCCUGCCGCCGGUGAAGCGCGAGACCGUGCAAAGCUUCUCGCCGAGACCUACCCCUACUCGCCGCGCGCCCAGCUACUCCGCGCGUACAUCGAGUUGGCACCAGUCCGUGCCCUCGAUCCGGCAAUGGACAAGAAGCAGCUUCUGCGCCGCGCACUCACCAUCGUGUCUCAAGCGGCAAAAAACUUCGACCGCUCGCUCAUGGUUGCCUUGUUCCACGCCAAGCUCUUGUUCCUACUGGAUGACUUUGAUGCUGCGGAGGAAGAGUGCCACCGGGCACUUCGCAUCGAGACGCCGAAUGACCCCAAUUGGGAUGGCAUACCUUCCAUGGCUGCUCUUGGG
rnacentral:rRNA from 1 species